CUGCUGAGGCCUUGGCACGCUGGCUCCUCUCUGCUGGCCCAGAUAGGACAAUCUGGAAACCUGGCUCUUCGUGCUCUCUAAAAAGUAGCUCAUAGUAGGCACUCCAGCUUUUGCCCACUUGACAAAAACUCAAGGGAGGAAUCUCCAGACCCUGAUCAAAUACCACUGGUCUCAAGACGUUCAUCUAAGACACCCAAGAUUCCUUUGCCUGAUGUCUCAAAACACUUUUCUGCUUACAGACUGAGAGCAAAAUUGCAAAUGAAAAGAAAAACAACCUUCUUAGACAUUUAUUUAAGGAAUCAAGAGUUUUCUAAAACUGUAACGU